CCAGGAGGAAGGGGAAUAAAAUGGGAAUGUUUGGCCAAUGCACUUUGCGUGUGGCAAGGUGUUGCUGAGGCGCCAUUGGGAUCUCUGUGUUUCCGUGAAGACUGGACUUGGACUGUGAUUCGGAUCUGCUGAUACCAUCUGGCUUGGCUCUCGCUGUGUCUUAUCGUGGACCUGGUUUGGAUGACUGCACCCUCUUCGGACUUUGGAUUGAAUUUGACCUGGCUUCUGUCUACGCUCCCUGACUGACGACUACUCCCGGCUUCUGACUUCUGGAAUUUGCUGCUGCCUCUCGACCUGACCUUGGAUUCUCCUGACGACUGCUAUUCAUCAUCCCUUUGAAGCUUCGGCUUUAUCUGCACCGUGGAAGCAGUUUACUGCUCUUCUAGUUUGUUUGUUUUUAAGCCAGUUUGCUGUUUUUCUUUUGGGAACUGUCCCUUUAACUCCGCAGAGCUGUCUGUCUGUUUUCAGAAACGGUUUGAAGCUAAAAGAAGCUUUUGCACUUUCUGUUAUACUCUGCAGCUUUUGGAAGGUUGCAAGCCUUCGUUUAUUUUGCAUGUUAUCUUGCAGUCAACUCUAUUUGUUUUUCCAAAGCUGAAUUGAAGCGUUCUUAGUUUUUAUUGAAUGCCAGCAUGGGAAAAUAGCAUGGCUUGUUUUUGUGUUAUUUUUGGCUUAUCUUCAGAAUAAACUUUGUUUUGUUUGUUAACUGGCGUCUGACUCUUGACAA